AAUCCACUUUCUGCAUUUGUACUAUUUCUAUGCAUGCUAACGGCCAUGUCUGACGCCUCCAGACGAUGUUGUAUCCCGUAACACUAUUGCAUCAAGGACUGGGUGUUCUAUGAGGCUGGAGGACACUGCUGGCCUGGGUUGUUCUAUGGCUGCAGGACUGGGUGUUCAUUAAGGCUUGAGAGCAGGAUAGAUAACCACGGAGAUGAAAAUACAGACAGGCUGCAAGUCAAAGAAGACAUAGCUGGGCAUUAACCGGAAUCAGCAAAUCAGCAUUCAGGCCAUUGCAUAUCAGAAACUUGAGAAUCCUCCUAGUUGCAGAGGCAUUGUUUGAGAGGAGGAUCGAAGCCUGCAGUACCCACUGACAUGUUGACCAGUGUCAAUUGAGACACAUGUUAAGAUGUCGAGUUUCUUGAAAGUGCAGUACCGUUGUUAAAUAGCACUUAAAUUAUGCAGUUUUGUGCCCCCAAAACUGGUGCACUGCCUAGGAGCAGCACCCUGAGAUUUUUGUUAUACAUGGAAAGGGGGGCCUGCAACAAUCCGUCAACACUCCCUUCCCUCAAUAUCCCUGCAGCAAGUAAGGCCAUUGAAGGUGCUUUAUGUGUCAGAAUGAUCAAAAUAUUAUACAUCCUUUGUUAUUACAUUGUAAAACGGUUGAAGCUUUGAAGUUGAGCCGACAGUUCUGGAUCUCGGUUAAACUAGUGCCAUUGGAGUAGGGGAGAAAGAAAGGUAUUAAUGGUAUCAGACCUUUAUCUUUUGCUAAUUGGUAAAACAUAUGGUGAGAGGAAAACAUAUGAUUGUCGACACUUUCAUGUUUUUUACGGGUGUUCUUCUCAGAACCCUAUUGGUAAAUGGUGCUGCGGUGAUGAUAACUGAGCUUGCAAGACAGUGCUUGCACUAUUUACAGGUUCUCGUCAUUUGUAUUUACUUUUUUGGGUAAAUAGGGAUUAAGUCCUAGCAGUAACUCUUUCUCAGGCAAUGGCAGCAAAGUUGCGCAGUAUGAUUUUCUGACAGUUGUAUCUAGUUUGGCUUCCAGUAACUCAUGUUUUGGCACUACUAAAUGAUGAACUAGGAAACGGGGUUGGUUUACUCUGUAUAAUAGUGCUUGAAGAUUGAUUUUUGAAUUGCAGUUUGGAUCUAACAGAUAUGCAAUCCAAC